rnacentral:piRNA from 1 species
UCUGACCACUGAAACUCACAGGAGAGAG